GGGAAAACCAGGAACAAUUCCAGAACAAUUCCAUUUGUUUAUCAGUGGACUAUGGUUAUUCCAACUGAAGCCCACUCACUCCCAUUCUUUAGUGCAAUAGAGGAAGGGGCCAAGCAACGGGACAAACAACUGGACAAGCUCACCUCUCCCUCUUGCUACUGAGUUUGAUUCUGAGUCUACUGAGUGGAAUUCUGAGCCAUGUGGGUUUCAGUCUGAUGCUUGCGAGGUGCAUUCUGAGUUGGUACUGGUUUCGGUCUUGGACGAGUGAGGUACAUUCCUGUGACUCGGGUCAGGUUGUUAGUGGUUUCGAGUUGAAUCCUAUCCGUUCACCUAUAGAAAGAGAAGAUCUCAUUCCGUUCACAUAUAUAAAGAGAAUCUAUAAUUAUAGAGGGGACAAGCCUCAAAAGGAGAUAGAUUGACUACUUGCUUAACACAAGCAACUAAACCCUAGUAAUAGGAAGGAAACAAGGCCCACACCCAUCCAUGGAACUAAGAUAUUAAUUCUCCGAUCAUAAGAUAAAGUAUUGAAACAAGCUGCUUGCUCAUCCACCUAAGUAAACAAAUACAUAUGCAGCAGGACCACCACUUUCAGGGUGAUGCGCCUCGCCCCUUGCUCUACGGAUCCCAGACUCUCUGGGGUAGCUUACUCUCUCUGCUCAUCCCGUAGCUUUGCCCUUAUUUGCAUUCUUUGUUUUCUUUAGACAGUAGCAACUGUGUUUCAUGCGAUAGCAGUCUUGUAUAAAGUUUGCAUAGGCUCUUUUCAAUUCCUAAGUUUAUGACAUGCAGUGUAAUUUCAAUUCAUGAGUAGCGUCCGGUGAGUUCCAUAUGAGACGGGUCCAGACUGAAGAAGUGGAAGAAAGAUCUUCAUCAGCAGUGUAGUCUCCAGGAAAGCACUCCACUAAAUACCUUUGUUGCUGCCGCUAUUAAUUAUACGUUACUUGUCUAGUAGUGUCUUGGCUGUUUUAGUUCAUUUCUAGUGUAUACCUUAACCCUAUUCUGUUUCUUACUUAUGAGUGGAAUUCUGAGUGUGGCUCCCCCGCUCCCAAUACAAUAGUAAUAGUCCGGAGUGGGAACUAAAGAAGAAGUAGCCCUUAAGUAAUUGGGAAAGCCGUAGAGAUCAGAUGCUGUUGAAAGAAGUAUUUAUAGCCCGCAGGGUUCAAUGAAUUGUUGCCAGAGUGAGUGGUUCAAGAAGUAUUUGUUGACAGAGUUGAGGUCGCCAUCCCUUGUUUCAUCUGUUAUUCUAUUAUAAGAUGUAAUUUCAAAUAGUAAAUAUAGAGCCUGCCCUGUCCUGUAAUGACCAAGCGGAGAAGCUACUACUACAAAGGCACAGAACACUGAAACAUAUAAGGGCUCGCCAACCAACACCCUAAACUCUUUAAGCACUGACCGCUUCUAAGCUUGCUCGCUCUUUAUUCCUGACCGGGUAGAGAACUCCCAGUAUUAAGAGCUAUUCUUUUCUUUGAUUCAAUAAAACUGGAUUAAGUAGAGUGAGCAGGAUAAUCUGUAGUUAAAAGAUCUUACUUAGUUUAAAGAGAAAGACAGAUGGUCUUCUACUAUAGUUCCCAGCGGGAAUAGGUAGAUCCGCUUUAACAGCUUACUUUGGCACUGCUUCCUCGCCUCGAACAGAAAGAUACUCGUCUCCAACAAACAUAGAUGAAACUGGGGCAGCAGCAGUUAGUUCAUUUCUCCUUCUUGCUUAGCUCUUAUCUCUUCCUAGUAAUGGCUUGUCUCUUCCUUUCCGUAUUGUGAGUGGAAUUCUUCCAUUCCUUAUUACUCGUUUUGAGUUCAAUUACUAUAUUGGCAGCCUCAGCUACUGAUGAAACGGGACUACUACUUGGCCCUUUACUUACCAGUCCAAUUCUUUGUUGAGGGAACAAUUCUUUGUCGAGGGAAACAGUACUAGCACUAGGGUAGCACUGGAUUCAUUCUUUCACUCCUUUACAUCAGUCUGAGUAGCUGUUGUCUUAGCCCGUAACUACCUAGCUCAAUUCUGUCACUACUUUGUUUAAGCCUUGGACUGCCUCGUUGAAGGCUUGCACUCCCUAGUUGGAUUCUUGCCCUCACUCGUAUCAGUCUGUUUGUUAGUGGCUUUAGUCUGAUUGAUCUAAGGUUCAGUCUGAUUGUUAGGUGCCUCGGUCCUGUUAGCAGUGGUUUCGUUCUGAUCUUAGGCAGCUGCAUAUGUGUCCUUACUUAGCUGAGAUCUAUACCAGGUGCUCGCUGCUUUGUAUUAGAAUUCCACAACUUUCCCCGUGUUUGGGCACUCGACCCUAGUAAUAUCAUUCCAAAACAACCCCACCAAGUAAGUAAACAAAGUAAGUAAACUAGCCUAUCGCCAACUACUUGCUACCCUCUCUACAACUACUGGCUCUCCUCUAACUGGUUCUCUUACCGACCCUAACUCUUCUCUUACCUAGGGCAACUGGCAACUGGCAAUACUGACCUUACUUUGCUGGCAAUACUGUAACUACUGACUUUGGCCAAGCCGACAGGCAAUACAGAACUACUGACUUGCUCCAUUCUUAUACUAAAUAAGGUUUCUGGGCAUAUGAGUGGAAUUCUUCACUGAUGUACUUAUAGCUUAGCUUCAAAGCCUGUACCUGAUAUAGCUCCUUCUGAUUCUCGAACUCCCCUGGCCCACCUCUCUUAUUGAUGACUCACUCACCUCUUGCUCUUAUUGAUUACUUUACUAGCUUCCUGCCUACAGAGCACUUGAUUGAUUUCCAACUUUCUAUCAAUCUUAUAUAAGCUUAUAUAAUAGACUUGAUCAAACAAGGGUUCGAUGUAAUUGAGCUAUAGCACCGACACCGAUUCUUUCUCUUAUUUCUUAAUGAAACUAUAGCACCGAACCAGCCUCUCCUCUGUCAAAUAAUACAGAUGAUACAGGGGAUGCAACUUACACUCGAACAGGAUCGGUAUUCCAAUAAGAGUAACUGACCUCGCCUCUCCUCUGUCUCUUAACUACUCUCCUAUUGCUCCCGAACCUACCUAUCCGAUUUCUUGCUUACCUCUUUUCUUUGGUUAAAGAUGAGACCUUGCUUGCCUACCAAAAGUCAGUGGUCAAAAGAAAGCGGGGAAGAAUAGGAUUGAGUGAGCUCCGUAUGUAUGUGUAUGAUAGAGGAUUGAGCUAUAUAUGUGAUAUAAAGAAUAGGAUGGAUUGCUCUGAACCAACCGAAGUGGGUGCUCUGAACCAACCGGCGGGCUAUCUUUCUUGCCUACCCAUCUAAAAGUCCUUAUCUGAGACCCUAAAUCUUAUAGGCUGAAAUGCAUUUUCUUGCCCCUCAGGGGGUACUAAAUGAAAGAUUUGACAUAAACCGAUCAAAAUAGUGAAAUAGUGCCCCGAUUACCCUAUUCUUAUGAUUCCACUUUCACCCUAUUCUUAUGAUUCCACUUGCACUCUUUUCUUCUAAUUCCACACACAUGGCAAAACGGGACCCAUACGCCUAACACAUGAUAGGCAAAACUAACCCAUAAUAGGCGCAACCAAUUCUAUUCUAUGACAUUCAGGUUUCUUUAAUAAAGAGAAAGACAAUUCUCCGCUGUUUUCCCCUACUGUUUGUGUAGUGUGUUAGUACAUGAGAAAUCUGUGUUCUUUUUCACAUAUUUUCCAUAUUUGUUCUUUUUCUUUUAUGAGUGGAAAGUGGGCAAGUCAGUCAACCAGCCUAUCUGAACAAGCAAGAAAGAACGGAAUAUAAGGGCCACCACCCUACCCGAGCCUUAUAAUAUCAUUCCAAAACUACCCGAGCCUUGUAAUAUCAUUAAAUAAGUGAACCGAUCCCUUUCCCUAACUAGCAAGUAAGUAAACAAAAGCACUGAAGCCUACCCCACAAAGUCAGUAAACAAGCUCGAUCCCUACCCUUGUAAUAUCAUUAAGAGUUGCGGUUACCAAUCUACCCGCACUGGAUUGAUUCGAUAUACCUCCCGCUAGCAUACCUAUGGCAACAGCCAAGUCACUAAGGGAAGGGCCAAAAGUAACUAUCCUUGGACCACUACUAGCUUAUAUAGAUAGGAGAACGGAUGAAACAACUUAGUUCAAUUCUGUGACUUACCGGUUUGAGUCUCAUCGGUGUCUACUUCAUUCUUGGACUCCUUAGCUCUAUUCUGAGUCUGCUUUGCUUCAUUCUUAGACUGCUUAGGAACAUUCUUGGACUUACUGGCGGCAUUCUCAUCGGUCCACCCAGGGCUUAAGGCUGUUACUCCUUAGCUCCAUUCCGAGUGUGCUUAGCUCCAUUCUCUGCAGUACUUGUUUAAGCCAGUAACUCGCUAGCUCCAUUCCGAGCGGCACUGGUGGAAGAAUGAGUGGCACUGGGUUGAGUCCGAUACUACUUAGUUCCAUUCCCUUACUACCCUUAAACAGAGACCCGAGCUACCCAGCAUCGGACUUAGAAGCAUCAGUAUCAGGCUCGCUCGGAAGCAUGGGUUUGGUUCUUUAACUACCUUGUUUGAGUCUAUCCCUCCUUAGCUACAGGCUUGCCCUCCUUAGCUACAGGCUUGGAAGCACUAGUUGGAGCCUGAGCGGAAGUAAUUGAAGUCUGAUCGGUAGUUGUCUCAUCCUUGCUAGUCCUUGGUUGAGUCUAGCUAUCCUUAGCUUCAGCCUGUCACUACCUCGUUUAAGCCUUGGAUGCACCGGUCUCAUUCCUACUAUCGAGCACCCAGCUCCCGAGUUCCAUUCCGAGUCUACCGAGUGCAAUUCUGAUUCUGUUACUACUGAGUCUAAUACUAGAUGCGGCUUUCAGGUCAUACUAUAUAGUACCAUAUGCGGUUUUCUGGUCAUAGGAUAGAUUCUUAUCAUAUCGGACUUCUGGUCAUAGAGAAGAAUAUACCUUAUUCGGCUUUCUGGUCAUAGGUGUCUGAUUCUUUGAUUGACUGGUUUUAUUCUUAUAUUUACUACUUACUGGUGCUAGCUCCCCUCUAUACUACUACUGGCUCGGAUACAGGGGGUCAAAUUCUGUAACUACCGAGCAUAAGUCUUACAAAAGAAAAGCACUCGUUUUAUUGUGUAUUGGGAGUUAUGCCUGGCACUGCAGCUGAACCUUUACUAUUUGCCUACUUCCACUCAAGCUUGCUCGUACUUAAUUCUUCCCCGGACAGUACAACUAUCUUCUUACCCGACCUGACCUCCAUACUUCCUCUUUGAACUAAGGCUCAUCUAAAACCAAGCGUAUACAUUAGAGUGGAAUGGAGACCUUUCCUACUGGGGACUUGUGGAAUUCCCUUACUAACUAGCCUUAUUUCUUGUCAUAUGAGCAAUUCUAACCUUAUCUGAUCCGUACUUUUACCACCUGGGGCCCGGCAUCAGAUCUUACCUUAGCACCCGACCCGACCUCUACUCUAGUAUUGGUACCCGACCUCUAUACUUCUAUAAAAGAUCUCUACACCCGACCUCUACUCACCAGACUUAAGAACCAGAACAGUAGUUGCACCCGACCCUACUUCUAUACUGCACUGCCUCUUUGAACUAAGGUAUUUGAUUUCACUCCUAACUGCUUCCCACAAAAGAGCCGAGCCUUGACUUGUUCAUAACGGGAGCCAAAAGCAGGAAUUGUAAUGACUCGUAAUAGCUUGGCCUAUUGACUACCCAGGACAGGUGCUUUUCUCUCUAUUUACUACCAACUUACUAUAAGUGCAGGACUAUCGGUUUCAUCACUCUUAUCUUAACCCCGAGUUUCAUCCUAAAUGUAAUCCUAUAAUAAGAUAAUAUAGAAUUAUGGAGGCUUUCCUCUACUUAGUCAGUACUGAGUUGGUACAUGAGAAAUAUGAGUUUUCUAGUGUCUUGGCCAUUUCUUCCAUUCCUGUUCGAUAGUUCCUUAAUUCUUCCCAUUCCAGAAAUGAAGUAUGUAGGGGUUGAUACCGCAGUCAGGAGUGAGAGCUACCGAGGAAGUAGUAAGGAGUGAGUUCCAAAGUCAACUAUUUUCGUCUAGGAAAGUAUCUCGUUCUUUUCUGGUUUUUCUAAUUUCUUGGAUUACAAUAGCCUAGCCUCACAAGAUGGUGCUCUCUUUUUACUACCCGAAGAAGGUACUCUCUUUUUACUACCCGACCCCCAACUAGGCAAUAGGCACAACUUCCUGACCCGACCUCUUCUACUGGUUACAAUUCUCUACUUCCCGAACUCGACUUGGCCCAUACUAUAUUCAAUAGCUCUUCUUAAUUAUAUUAUAUUAUAGGGGAGACUAUCAGAUUUCCACAACUCUACUACUCGGUGAAGCCUCAUUGCCCGGCCUUGCCUCUCUCUCCCCUUGCCCACCUCAACUCUGGCUACUGCCAAGGACACACCAGCAAUGGAACGUGUAUUUGGACUAGGUGAUGUGGAGAAGCAUCUCGCACAGGGAGACAGAGCUACACUAACCACAAAAAGAAAACAAAGCAUGAAACUCACACUCCAGUUCAAAGAACCAACCACUCUACUCUACUACUUGCUACCCGGGCAAUUACUUAAGGGGACAGGACUUGGCCCGCAUCUAUAUUAAUAUCUUAUUUAACUAACUUACCCCCCUUUGUACAUCUGAUACUAACCCACCGGAGGCUCACUAAUUGGUAGUUGCUCGCCCUUACUUAUAUUCCUUCU
rnacentral:lncRNA from 1 species